rnacentral:rRNA from 1 species
AGUGAACGCUGGCGGUAGGCCUAACACAUGCAAGUCGAACGGCAGCACAGUAAGAGCUUGCUCUUACGGGUGGCGAGUGGCGGACGGGUGAGGAAUACAUCGGAAUCUACUUUUUCGUGGGGGAUAACGUAGGGAAACUUACGCUAAUACCGCAUACGACCUACGGGUGAAAGCAGGGGAUCUUCGGACCUUGCGCGAUUGAAUGAGCCGAUGUCGGAUUAGCUAGUUGGCGGGGUAAAGACCCACCAAGGCGACGAUCCGUAGCUGGUCUGAGAGGAUGAUCGGCGACACUAGAACUGAGACACGGUCCAGACUCCUACGGGAGGCAGCAGUGGGGAAUAUUGGACAAUGGGCGCAAGCCUUAUCCAGCCAUACCGCGUGGGUGGAGAAGGCCUUCGGGUUGUAAAGCCCUUUUGUUGGGAAAGAAAAGCAGCAGGUUAAUACCCCGCUGUUCUGACGGUACCCAAAGAAUAAGCACCGGCUAACUUCGUG